AUUUAGAAUUCCAUUUUUAGAGUAUUACUUCAUAUUUAGUGAAAGAGCCUACAGUUAACUUUCACCUCAUAAAAGUGAAAGAGCCUACUUAUGUGUUGCAUUAAGUAGCCUCCUUCCCACCACCAGAGUGACCUUGUGCACUUCCUAUGUGCAUACAGAGACCCUGUGUGGGUACAAGUACCACAUAAUCUUGCCACAUAAACAAUGGGCAGCCAUAUUUACUGACCAUGUGAUUUCAGAGACAAGUGUUUUCAUACUCAUUGCGAUUUAGUUCUUCAAGUUUCAUCACUUUAUUCACUCUUUGUGGACCUUGAAAGACCCCAUUUUGAUUGUUAUCUCAAUCUCAAUCUACUCAAUCUACAAUCAGCAAUCACCACCAUGUUGUCAAGUGGCUUCAUUGUGUUUUGUGUGUGGUUCCUGGAUUGAUUGCGAAUACCAGUCACUUGGGAGUCCUUUUCUCAUAAGUUUGAGAACUAGUAGUCCGAAACUCCUCUGGGCACAAGUGAGCCCCGAGGCAGCCACA
rnacentral:lncRNA from 1 species